rnacentral:rRNA from 1 species
AUUGAACGCUGGCGGCAUGCCUUACACAUGCAAGUCGAACGGUAACAGGUUAAGCUGUCGAGUGGCGAACGGGUGAGUAAUGUAUCGGAACGUGCCCAGUCGUGGGGGAUAACUGCUCGAAAGAGCAGCUAAUACCGCAUACGACCUGAGGGUGAAAGCGGUGGAUCGCAAGACCUCGCGCGAUUGGAGCGGCCGAUAUCAGAUUAGGUAGUUGGUGAGGUAAAGGCUCACCAAGCCGACGAUCUGUAGCUGGUCUGAGAGGACGACCAGCCACACUGGGACUGAGACACGGCCCAGACUCCUACGGGAGGCAGCAGUGGGGAAUUUUGGACAAAGGGCGCAAGCCUGAUCCAGCCAUGCCGCGUGCGGGAAGAAGGCCUUCGGGUUGUAAACCGCUUUUGUCAGGGAAGAAAAGGUUCUGGCUAAUACCUGGGACUCAUGACGGUACCUGAAGAAUAAGCACCGGCUAACUACGUG